rnacentral:lncRNA from 1 species
UCAUCUUUGGCUUCAUAUUUCCUUGUAAGACUUGGAUUCAGACUCCUUUUCUUGAUAUGGAAUGGGAAAACCUUGAGAUAUCUCUUGUAGAAUUAGGAAUAUAUGUACUCCUUGAAUCCUUAUCUGCUAUAUUGUCCUUAAAGCUUUAGGGUUGACGAUCUUGUGCAACGAAACUUGAGUUCUUCACAAAAGCUUGUAAUUCCAAGCAGAUUUGCUGAUCUGACCUUUCUUCAUUCAAACGAUCAUAACUCAGUCUAGAAGUAUCGAAAUCGAGAUCCGUAAAAUUCUAUAGAAAAUAGACAUCUGUAGCUUUCCAAUGAUAUAAGGCUCAUAAUCUGAUUCGAUCUCAGUAAUUCGGCGAAGUUGGAUGUUCUGCCCAGGCAGAUUUUAGGACUUGGGAUUGUAGUCGUCUUUCAAUCCUUAUUUGCGCAUUUUAUCUCUUUUUCUUCUCUCUAUGACACAAACCUUCAAGAACACUAAAAUAACAUAAAUAAGUCAUAAAGAAGAUAACUAAAUACAAAUCUCAAGCAUAAAAGGCUUAGAAAUAUAGGAUAAUAUGAGCAUAUCAAAAAUUGGCCGGAAAGUUAUAAUCCACCCACCGUAACUCUACGUCGUGAGUCGAGCUUCAAGACCAUCAUAAGUCGAACCAGGGCGCCCAACACUUCCUAUCCCUACCGGUUUUAAGCCUCGUCGCCACCGCCGGAGGUAGGAAUCCCGACCGGUCCUCCACCCGAAACUUCUAGGCUUCGAUUCGCACGAACCAUCAUGAAUCGGAGCAAGCCACCACCACAAGUAAGGAUGCGCCACCGAGAUGAAGCGUCUCCAACCGGUGCCGUCGGUCGGAGUUGGCUGAAAAAACCGGGUCCGGGUCGGGUCAGCUGGAGAAUUUGGAUUCUCUCGGGGUCAGGAAGAGAGAAGGAGAGGGGAAGAAAUGUGAUUUUGAAAAAAUGAGGACCCAAAACAAAAUUUUCCUAUUUAACCUAAAUAUUCCUGAAAAGUCACAACUUCCGCUGACCAUAACUUUCUCAUACGAAGUCUGUUUUAUGCGUGUCGCGUGUCUACGAACUUGUAUCGUCGUGCUCUACAACUUUCGUGAAGGAAGUUUCUCGAGAAACCCAACGAAUAAAAAGUCAACUCUAAGGCUGCUAAGGGGUCGCCUUCACUCGCUAUAGGUCUGCCUUGGCCCGCUUUGGGCUGCCUUAACUCGCCUUGGGCUGCCUUGACUCGGCUAAGGCCACAAAGGUGCCGCCUUCACCUAGCUAAGGCCGCAAGGUGUCGCAUUGACCCGCUAAGGGUCUGCCUUGACCUGCUUUGGGCUGUCUUGACCCUUCUUGGCCACCCCUUGCGCUGCCUUGACACGUCUAGGGCCACCUUGACCUGUUAUGGGCUGCCUUGACCUGUCUACGGCCGAUUUGGGCCGUCUUGACCCAUCUAGGGGCACCUUGACCCGCCUUAACCUGCCUUGGCCCGCCUGGACCCGCCUUGGGCUGCCUUGACCCGCCUAGACCCUCCUAGGGCCGCUAAGAGGCCGCCUUAGCCCAUCUAGGUCCACUAAGAGGCCGCCUUAACCCAUCUAGGGCGGCCAAGGGGCCGCGUUCACCUGUUUAAGACCGCCAAAGGGCCACCUUGGGCUGCCUUGACCCAUUUUAGGCCGCCUUGGGCUGUCUUUAUCUAGGGCCUCUAAGAGAUCGUCUUAACCCAUUUAGGUCCACUAAGAGGCCACCUUAACCCAUCUAUGGACGCCAAGGGCCGCGUUCACCCGUCGAAGGCCGCCAAGGGGGCCGCGUUUACCCAUUUUGACUUGCCAGGAGCUGCUUUGACCUUCCUAGACCCACCCAAGGCCGCCUUGCCCCUUCUAGGCCCUCCUAGGCCCGCCUAAACCACCAAGGGGCCGACUUGACCCUCCAAGGCCCUCCUAGGCCCGCUUACGGCCACUAAGGGGCCGCCUUUACCUGUUUUGGGCUACCUUGACCCGCCUUGACUCGUCUUGUGCCGCCUUAACCUGCCUUGGGCCCCCUUGACCCGUCUNNNNNNNNNNNNNNNNNNNNGCCUAGACCAUCCUUGGGCCGCUAAGAGGCCGCCUUAGCCCAUCUAGGUCCACUAAGAGGACGCCUUAACCCAUCUAGAGCGGCCAAGGGGCCGCGUUCACCCGUUUAAGCCUGCCAAGGGGCCACCUUGACCCGCCUUGGCCCACCUUGACCCCCUUAGGCCGCCUUGAUCCGCUUUGGGCCGCCUUGACCCGCCUUGGCCAACCUUGACCCGCCUUAGGCCUCCUUGACCCUCCUAGGGCCUCUUAAACCGCCUUAACUCUCCUAGGGUCUCCAAGAGGCCGCCUUAACCGAUCUAGGGCUACCAUGAGGCCGCCUUCACCCAUUUAGGACCACUAGGUUCCCGCCUUGACCCGUCUAAGGCUGCUAAGGGGGUCGCCUUCACUCGCUAUAGAUCUACCUUGGCCCGCUUUGGGCUGCCUUGACUCGGCUAAGGCCACAAAGGUGCCGCCUUCACCUAGCUAAGUCCGCAAGGUGUCGCCUUGACCCGAUAAGGGUCUGCCUUGACCGGCUUUGGGUUGCCUUGGUCACCCCUUACGCUACCUUGACAAGUCUAGGGCCACAUUGACCUGUUAUGGGUUGCCUUGACCCGUCUACGGCCGAUUUGGGCCGUCUUGACCCAUCUGGGGCACUUUGACCUGCCUGGACCCGCCUAGACCCUCCUAGGGCCGUUAAGAGGCCGCCUUAGCCCAUCUAGUUCUACUAAGAGGCCGCCUUAGCCCAUCUAGGUCUACUAAGAGGCCGCCUUAACCCAUCUAGGGCGGCCAAAGGGCCGCGUUCACCUGUUUAAGCCCGCCAAAAGGCCACCUUGGCCCAACUUGGGCUGCCUUGACCCAUCUUAGGCUGCCUUGGGUCGUCUUUAUCUAGGGCCGCUAAGAGAUCGCCUUAACCCAUCUAGGUCCACUAAGAGGCCACCUUAACCCAUCUAUGGACGUCAAGGGCCGCGUUCACCCGUCGAAGGCCGCCAAGGGCCGCGUUCACCCAUUUUGACUUGACAGGAGCUGCCUUGACCUUCCUAGGCCCGCCCAAGGCCGCCUUGCCCAUUCUAGGCCCUCCUAGGCCUGCCUAAACCACCAAGGGGCCGACUUGACCCUUCAAGGCCCUCCUAGGCCCGCCUACGGCAACUAAGGGGCCGCCUUUGCCUGCUUUGGGCUGCCUUGACCCGCCUUGGGCCGCCUUUACCAGUCUACGGCCGCCUUGGGCUGCCUUGACUCGUCUAGUGCAGCCUUAACCUGCCUUUACCCACCUUGGGCCGCCUAGACCCUCCAAGGGCCACUAAGAGGCCGCCUUAGCCCAUCUAGGUCCACUAAGAGGCCGCCUUAACACAUCUAGGGCGGCUAAGGGGCCGCGUUCACCCGUUUAAACCCACUAAGGGGCCACCUUAACCCGCCUUGGCCCACUUUGGGCCGCCAUGACCCGCCUUGACCCGUCUUGACCCGUCUUAGGCCGUCUUGACCCUCCUAAGGCCUCUUGAACCGCCUUAACUCUCCUAGGGCCGUCAGGAGGCCGCCUUAACCGAUCUAGGGCUACCAUGAGGCCGCCUUCACCCAUGUAGAACCACUAGGUGCCCGCCUUGACCCGUCUAAGGCUGCUAAGGGGUCGCCUUCACUUGCUGUAGGUCUGCCCUUGCCCGCUUUGGGCUGUCUUGACUCGGCUAAGGCCACAAAGGUGCCGCCUUCACCUGGCUAAGGCCGCAAGGUGCCUCCUUGACCCGCUAAGGGUCUGCCUUGACCCGCUUUGGGCUGCCUUGACCCUCCUUGGCCACCCCUUACGCUGCCUUGACACAUCUAGGGCCACCUUGACCUGUUAUGGGCUGCCUUGACCCGUCUACGGCCGAUUUGGGCCGUCUUGACCCAUCUAGGGGCGCCUUGACCCGUCUUAACCUGCCUUGGCCCGCCUGGACCCGCCAUGGGCUGCCUUGACCCGCCUAGACCCUCCUAGGGCCGCUAAGAGGCCAUCUUAGCCCAUCUAGGUCCACUAAGAGGCCGCCUUAACCCAUCUAGGGCGGCCAAGGGGUCGCAUUCACCUGUUUAAGCCUGCCAAAGGGCCACCUUGGCCCGACUUGGGCUGCCUUGACCCAUCUUAGGCCGCCUUGGGCCGCCUUUAUCUAGGGCCGCUAAGAGAUCGCCUUAACCUAUCUAGGUCCACUAAGAGGCCACCUUAACCCAUCUAUAGACGCCAAGGGCCGCGUUCACCCAUUUUGACUUGCCAGGAGCUGCCUUGACCUUCCUAGACCCGCCCAAGGCCGCCUUGCCCCUCCUAGGCUCUCCUAGGACUGCCUAAACCACCAAGAGGCCUACUUGACCCUCCAAGGCCCUCCUAGGCCCGCCUACGGCCACUAAGGGGCCGCCUUUGCUUGCUUUGGGCUGCCUUGACCCACCUUGGGCCACCUUUACCCGUCUACGGCCACCUUGGGCUGCCUUGACUCGUCUAGUGCAGCCUUAACCUGCCUUUACCCACCUUGGGCUGCCUAGACCCUCCAAGGGCCACUAAGAGGCCGCCUUAGCCCAUCUAGGUCCACUAAGAGGCCGCCUUAACCCGCCUUGGCCCACCUUGGGCUGCCUUGACCCGCCAUGGGCCGCCUUGACCCAUCUUGACCCGCCUUAGGCCGCCUUGACCCUCCUAAGGCCUCUUGAACCGCCUUAACUCUCCUAGGGCCGCCAAGAGGCCGCCUUAACCGAUCUAGGGCUACCAUGAGGCCGCCUUCACCCAUUUAGGACCACUAGGUGCCCGCCUUGACCCGUCUAAGGCUGCUAAGGGGGUCGCCUUCACUCGCUAUAGGUCUGCCUUGGCCCGCUUUGGGCUGCAUUGACCCUCCUUGGCCCCUCUUGCGCAGCCUUGACACGUCUAGGGCCACCUUGACCCGUCUACGGCCACUUUGGGCCGUCUUGACCCGUCUAGGGGCGCCUUAACCCGCCUUUACCUGCUUUGGCCCGCCUUUACCCGCUUUGGGCUUGCUUGACCCGCCUAGACCCUCAUAGGGCUGCUAAGAGGCUGCCUUAGCCCAUCUUGAGCUGCUUUGACCCGCAUUGGGUCUCCUUGACCCGCCUUUACCCUCCUAGGGCCACUAAGAGGCCGCCUUAACCCUUCUAGGGCGGCCAAGGGCCCACGUUCACCCGUUUAAGGCCGCCAAGGGGACACCUUGACCCUCAUAGGCCGCCUUGACCCGUCUAGGGUCGUAUUGACCGCCUAGGGCCUCUUGGGCCGCCUUGACCCUCCUAGGCCCUCCUAGACCUGCCUAGGACCACCUUGACCCGCCUUGGCCUGCUUUGGGCUGACUUAACCCACCAUGGGCUUCCUUGACCCGGCUACGACCGCUUUGGGCCGCCUUUAGUCGCCCUGACCCUCAUAGACCCUCCUUGGGCCGCUAAGAGGCCGCCUUAGCCCAUCCAGGUCCACUACGAGGCCGCCUUAACCCAUCUAGGGAGGCCAAGAGGCCGCGUUCACCCAUUUAAGCCCGCCAAGGGGUCACCUUGAUCCGCCUUGGCCUGGCUUGGGCUGCCUUAACCCGCCUUAACCUGCUUUGGGCUGCCUUUGGCCGACUUGACCCGCUUUGGGCCGCCNNNNNN